rnacentral:misc_RNA from 1 species
AAGUCGUAACAAGGUUUCCGUAGGUGAACCUGCGGAAGGAUCAUUAUCACGUAUCCACGUAUAAACCAUUGUGAACCGUUUCCCACCUCCGCUGGCGCAGCAAGGUAGCAUUUUGAUAAAACUAGUUUUUGGACGUAACAGUUCAAUCUUACCACCUUCAUAAUGCUCGCUUCCUGCCGCUACGGAGCGUACUCACUUUAUUAACCAUUUUAACCAAUCUUUAUAACUUUAUGAACUAACUUUAUUUUAUACUCUUCGGAGAUAAAAUUCAUUACGAAACAAAGAACAACUCUUAGCAACGGAUAUCUUGGUUCUC